GCCUCCGCAUCACUAGCGUCAAUGGCUGAAAAUUUUCAGCGUUCUGCAAUUGAAUUUGCUUGUUCUAUGUAACACAACUCUUCCACCCACUUUCGUACCUUUCAGAUGUAUUGAUGGUAGCACGGGAGAAUCCGGCUUUAGGUGUCGGUUUUGCUAUUUCUGUUGCGCUUCUUGUUACGAGGGGGGCUAUACUGUGGCAAAACUGGGGAAACUAAUGCAGGAUCAAUGCUUGUUUCUUUUUAUUUGUGUAAUUUCAUUACACUCCUUUCUCUUUUUGCUAUUAGGUAGUCACAAAUCUACUAAACAGUGAACAUUGGUCUGAGACCAAUAAAAAUUUAACCUUUCUGAUGUAAUUAGGAUUUGUUGGAUUUGAUGAAGAUAAUGGAGAUGAUGACAUUGAUAGCUAUCAUAUUGAAUAGUAUUUGUUUUUAUUUUAUUAAUUUGGUUGUAUCAUAUACUUGAUCAUACUUAGUUUUUUUUUUGGAUCAUGCUUGAAUUAAUGCUUAGUUUUGAUUUUUGAACAUGAUAUAAAUUGUGUCGGAGUAUUGCAAUAGUAUUUCAA